rnacentral:rRNA from 1 species
AUUGAACGCUGGCGGCAGGCCUAACACAUGCAAGUCGAACGAGUGGCGGACGGGUGAGUAAUGUCUGGGAAACUGCCUGAUGGAGGGGGAUAACUACUGGAAACGGUAGCUAAUACCGCAUACCAUCGGAUGUGCCCAUAUGGGAUUAGCUAGUAGGUGGGGUAAAGGCUCACCUAGGCGACGAUCCCUAGCUGGUCUGAGAGGAGGACCAGCAACACUGGAAUGGAGAAACGGUCCAGACUCCUACGGGAGGCAGCAGUGGGGAAGAUUGCACAAUGGGCGCAAGCCUGAUGCAGCAAUGCCGCGUGUAUGAAGAAGGCCUUCGGGUUGUAAAGUACUUUCAGCGGGGAGGCGGUACCCGAAGAAGAAGCACCGGCUAACUCCGUGCCAGCAGCCGCGGUAAUAC